GCCGGCUUCUUUAAUGAGGCUAAUUAGGGAUCCAAAUGUUUUCAUAUGAUGCCUUUUUUUUUUUUUUUUCCUAGAAAGACAGAGUAGUGAUGGAGAUCUCACCUUCUGCUCUAAGCAGAUCCUAGAGAUCUUAAAAGUAAAAGGUAAAUGCACUAAGGUGAAAAUAGCACUGCUUUUCAGCAUGGAGGCUCUGUGUUCUGCCUCAGUUCCCAUAGAUCUCUGUUGAUAUCCACCCCCAAAUACUUUCUCAAAAACAAAACCCUUUUCUUGGUAGGGUGACUCCAAUUCACUUUCUCUUUUUUUUUUUUUCUUUCUCUUUGGUGUGUGUGUGCUGCAGAUUCUGCAGUCCUGAGUCACGGUCAUGAGGAGAAGAGCUGUAACACUGUGAUACAGAAUUUCCAAUCUCUAACCUGAGCAGACUGGCCUGCUCAUCAGCGUGGUCGCAGGGCGGCUCAAAUCCCAGCUUGGAUGCUUCAGGGUCACAGCCUUCAUCAGCUGGGCUCCAAAAUCUGUCUUGCCACGAAGGGAAGUGCUGUGUCACGAAGAACAGACAGAUGCUUGUAAGGACAUAAAGAACAUGCAGUACAGAGUUUAGAGUUCUCUCAGGUAGAGAAAUAUUCUUGGUGUUGGGCUUCUGCUUUGUUGCUUCUUCUUUGCUGCCCAGUGCUUCAUACCAACUGGUGGCAGCAGCUGUGCUGUGUGGAUGGUCAGUAAGCCUGCAAUUGUUUGGUUUGUAAAUAAUUACGGUGCCUGUUGCUGUUGGGUGCUACUUGAUCAUACAAAGAAGUGAACUAAUUGUAUUCACAUGAACUAAUGCUGUAAGUCUCAGAGCAGGCUCUUUAUCCCUAUCCACAGGAGGUAGUCACACUUCCAUUAAAAUUAGAGAAACUUUUCUGUGCUCUCCUGAGAGCUGUA
rnacentral:lncRNA from 1 species